rnacentral:rRNA from 1 species
GGAGUUUGGGCCGUGUCUCAGUCCCAAUGUGGCCGAUCACCCUCUCAGGUCGGCUACCGAUCGUCGACUUGGUGGGCCGUUACCUCACCAACUAUCUAAUCGGACGCGAGCCCACCCUUCACCGGAUUACUCCUUUGACCCCUGAGCCAUGUGGCUCUGUGGUCUUAUGCGGUAUUAGUACAACUUUCGCUGUGUUAUCCCCCUCGUGAAGGACAGGUUGCUCACGCGUUACUCACCCGUCCGCCGCUAAGUGAUUCAAAUGAGUCAAUCAGGUGCAAGCACCGUCAAUCCUCGGGAGAACCACCCCGUUCGACUUGCAUGUGUUAAGCACGCCGCCAGCGUUUAUC